AAGGCAGUUCUGUAAUAAAUUGGUAUUUAAAUUGCACCAUCAACGCCCCCCAAACUGGGAAAAAUUGUGCCCAGUCCGGCCAGGUCUGUGCUCCCGGAUCCUGCAUGCACUUGUUGCAGAUUUACACCAGAAGCCAGCUCAGGAAGACAUUAGAAAGUUGAUCUCAAUAAUACAACAACAGGUUGGUACACAAGAAUCAGUGUCUGCGUGACAGUGAUGGCGACAUUGUAGACUAUACACAAGAGGACCACAUGCCCCACC